rnacentral:rRNA from 1 species
AUAACGGUCCUAAGGUAGCGAAAUUCCUUGUCAGGUAAGUUCUGACCCGCACGAAUGGCGUAACGAUUUGGGCACUGUCUCAACAGCCCGCCCGGCGAAAUUGUAGUACCGGUGAAGAUGCCGGUUACCCGCAACUAGACGGAAAGACCCCAUGGAGCUUUACUGCAGCUUAAUACUGAAAUUCGGUAGUACAUGUACAGGAUAGGUGGGAGACUGAGAAAUACAGGCGUCAGCUUGUAUGGAGUCGCUGUUGGGAUACCACUCUUGUACUGCUGAGUUUCUAACCUGCGGCCGUGAAUCCGGUCGGGGGACACUGUUAGGCGGGCAGUUUGACUGGGGCGGUCGCCUCCCAAAAGGUAACGGAGGCGCUCAAAGGUUCGUUCAGCACGGACGGAAAUCGUGCAGUGAGUGUAAACGCAAAAACGAGCCUAACUGCGACACCGACGGGUGGAGCAGUAACGAAAGUUGGAGUUAGUGAUCCGGUGGUAUGUGAGUGGAAAUGCCAUCGCUCAACGGAUAAAAGCUACCCUGGGGAUAACAGGCUGAUCUCCCCCAAGAGUCCACAUCGACGGGGAGGUUUGGCACCUCGAUGUCGGCUCAUCGCAUCCUGGGGCUGAAUUCGGUCCCAAGGGUUUGGCUGUUCGCCAAUUAAAGCGGCACGCGAGCUGGGUUCAGAACGUCGUGAGACAGUUCGGUCCCUAUCUGUUGCGGGCGUAAGAGAUUUGAAGGGAGCUGUCCUUAGUACGAGAGGACCGGGAUGGACGUACCUCUGGUGCACCAGUUGUCCUGCCAAGGGCAUAGCUGGGUAGCUAUGUACGGACGAGAUAAACGCUGAAAGCAUCUAAGCGUGAAACUCCCCCUAAGAUGAGAUCUCUCAUCCUUUAAGGAGUAAGGACCCAGAAAGACGAUCUGGUUGAUAGGCCGAAGGUGGAAGCGCAGUAAUGCGUGCAGCUGAUCGGUACUAAUAGUCCGAGGGCUUGACCUA